rnacentral:rRNA from 1 species
AACGAACGCUGGCGGCAUGCCUAACACAUGCAAGUCGAACGGGAUCCAUCUUUCGGGAUGGUGAGAGUGGCGGACGGGUGAGUAACGCGUGGGAACCUGCCCAGUGGUGGGGGAUAACUGCGGGAAACUGCAGCUAAUACCGCAUGAGCCCGAGAGGGGAAAGAUUUAUCGCCAUUGGAGGGGCCCGCGUUCGAUUAGGUAGUUGGUGGGGUAAUGGCCUACCAAGCCGACGAUCGAUAGCUGGUCUGAGGGGAUGAUCAGCCACACUGGGACUGAGAUACGGCCCAGACUCCUACGGGAGGCAGCAGUGGGGAAUAUUGGACAAUGGGGGCAACCCUGAUCCGGCAAUGCCGCGUGAGUGAUGAAGGCCUUCGGGUUGUAAAGCUCUUUUGCCAGGGACGAUGAUGACGGUACCUGGAGAAUAAGCCCCGGCUAACUUCGUGCCAGCAGCCGCCGUAAAAC